CUCAAAUCCCAAAUUUCACCUCGGUAAUGUUUUUUACCGAUUUUAUCCUGUAAAACUAAAUUAAAACCGAAAGCUCAGUAAAAAGAUCAGAAUUCACCGAUCUUUGUAAUUAUUUAAACUGAUGCCUCAGCACUAUAAAAUAACAUACUGGACCUCGGUAAUGUAAAUUACCGAUUAACUCAGUAUUUAUCAAAACUUCCAAUUCUGUCAAAUAAUUAUACUGAGCACUCGGUAAAAAUAAUAAAUUUUACUGAGCUUACGGUAGCUUAUUUACCGACUUCUCAGUUUCCGAAAAAUCUUCGUGACGCCUGAUGUGCCGCCAUAUUUGUCCUCUGAAAUUAUAAGUUUUCUCGAAGCAGUGUGUUACGCUCGUUUCUCAUUUUAUUUCCAAUUAAUUCUUGGAUUUGUAAUGGAAACAACUGCCGAUGACUUCGCCGGCAGAUUUGCAUUUCCAUUCCAUUAGCUUUUUUCCUUUACGAGGAAUUCAUCUGUGUUCUAUUGCCCACUGAAAUUAAUAUUCAGGAAAUCUAAAGCAUCCGCUGACCUACGGCCAUUUAUUCCUUCAGAAGCAGGACUGAGCAAGUCGGCAGUUGAGAUGCCGAUGAUAUUUAAAAGCUCUGUGAAUAUGAUUAUUCCCACUUGGUAUUGGAUUAAUAAAGAAAUAUUUUACAAUGGAAAAAUACUUUUGUUUGUCUUUUUUUUCGAUAACCAAAAAGGAUACGAAAUUGCAUUCUGUUCGGUAAUUUGUAUUACAGAUGCCCGUAUUUUUUUUACAAAUCGCCCUGUAUUUUUUUACCGAGUGCUCGGUAAUAAUUUGACAUUUCGUCAUCGAGAAUUCAGAACUGAGGACUCGGUAUAUUGUUAAACUUUUUACUGAGCUGACUACCGAGAGCUCAGCUGUUGAGAAAUCGGUAAU